UCAUUUCUGCAAGAUAAUGACUGCGAAUAGAGUAAGAAGAAAAAUGCCACCUGGGAUGGUGAAUAUCCGCGAGUUUAACAAGGAGAACUUCAAAUCCUGUGGGCUCCAGUUAAUUUCUCAUGUAAUGAAAGAAUUUAAAAAAGAGCAAAACAAACUAAGAACUCAUGUGAAUGAGAUUCUCCACAGCAUCUUCUUUUUAGGGAUCAUUCAUAAGGACAGUCUCACUCCCGAAGACAUUAUACCUGAAAAGAUUGCUGAGAUUACAAGACAGGAAUUUCCAGAACCAUUUAAGAAAUACAAGAGUCAUCUACCUAAGCGGACACCUUUCUCAAUACUGUUAG